rnacentral:rRNA from 1 species
GACGAACUGCCCAAACGUUGUUCGGAAUCACUGGGCUUAAAGGGCGCGUAGGCGGCGAAUCAAGUCAGGGGUGAAAUCCGGCAGCUUAACUGUCGAAGUGCCUUUGAUACUGGUUUGCUCGAGGGAGAUAGGGGUCUGUGGAACUUCUGGUGGAGUGGUGAAAUGCGUUGAUAUCGGGAGGAACACCAGUGGCGAAGGCGGCGACCUGGGCCAAUAUUGACGCUGAGGUGCGAAAGCGUGGGGAGCAAACAGG